AGAUACGGGCCCGACUCCUACGGGAGGCAGCAGUAGGGAAUAUUGGGCAAUGGAUGCAAGUCUGACCCAGCCAUGCCGCGUGCCGGAUGAAGGCCCUCAGGGUUGUAAACGGCUUUUAUUCGGGAAGAAGAGCAGGGAUGCGUCCUUGUGUGACGGUACCGAAUGAAUAAGCACCGGCUAACUCCGUGCCAGCAGCCGCGGUAAUACGGAGGGUGCGAGCGUUGUCCGGAUUUAUUGGGUUUAAAGGGUGCGUAGGUGGCCUGUUAAGUCAGUGGUGAAAUACAGCCGCUCAACGGUUGAGGUGCCAUUGAUACUGACGGGCUUGAAAUAAUUGGAGGCUGCCGGAAUGGAUGGUGUAGCGGUGAAAUGCAUAGAUAUCAUCCAGAACACCGAUUGCGAAGGCAGGUGGCUACGAUUGGUUUGACACUGAGGCACGAAAGCAUGGGGAGCAAACAGGAUUAGAUACCCUGGUAGUCCAUGCUGUAAAC
rnacentral:rRNA from 1 species